GCUUGCUUUGGCAGGACAGACACUAAAAUUGGAAAGAUACAGAGAAGAUUAGCAAGGUCCCUCCUCAAGGAGGUUAUGCAAAUUUGUGAAGUGUUCCACGUUUAA
ensembl:snRNA U6 U6 spliceosomal RNA